UACGAAGGGGGCUAGCGUUGUUCGGAAUCACUGGGCGUAAAGCGCACGUAGGCGGACUUUUAAGUCAGGGGUGAAAGCCUGAGGCUCAACCUCAGAACUGCCCUUGAUACUGGGAGUCUUGAGUAUGGUAGAGGUUGGUGGAACAGCAAGUGUAGAGGUGAAAUUCGUAGAUAUUUGCUAGAACACCGGUGGCGAAAGCGCUCUGCUGGACCUAAACUGACACUGAGGGACGAAAGCUAGGGGAGCGAAUGGG
rnacentral:rRNA from 1 species